GGCGCUGUGGCUUAGUUGGUUAAAGCGCCUGUCUAGUAAACAGGAGAUCUCCAGUUCGAAUCCGGGCAGUGCCU
rnacentral:tRNA from 1 species